AUGGAGCCGGGAGCGGCUCCGGGUCCGGCUCUGGGUCCGGGAGAAUCCCGGCUGGAAUUGGGGGAUCCGGGCUGGAAUUGGGGGAAUCCCGGCUGGAAUUCGGGAGGAGCCGAAUUCCGGGAAUGCGCAGCCCCUUCCCAGAGGAGCACACCCGGAGCCUCGACAUUCCUGGAGAACCUCGGCCAAGGAGGAGAUGAUCCCAAAAUUCCAGCUGCUUUUCCAUGGGGAGCCCCUUCCCGCGGGAGUCCCGCCCCUUCUUCCUCCGGGAAUUCCACUGGGAUAUUUCCAGGAGAUUCCCAAACCCAAUUCCCGGCUCUGACUCUGGGAAGGUUCCUUCCUUUUCCCGGGAAAUCCCGGAUCCACCUUCGGAAUUCCAGCCUGGGAAAGGCCAAAAUUCCACCAGAAGCUCGGGAGGAGCAGGACGUGGCUCCCAUCGGAAUUCCCGGAAUUUGGGACUGGAAUUCAAUCCAGAACUUUGGCUCUGCCUCCAUUUUUCCCGAUUUUUUUUGUUUUGUUUUGUUUUGUUUUGUUUGUUGGUUUUUUUAUGGAAUUCCUGGAAUGCUGUGUUGGGGGGGGAGGGGGGGGAUGGAAAAGCGGAAUUCCCGGGAUUUUACUUUUGGUGGGAUUUCCAGCUGGAAAAAACUCCAGGAGGAGGCGGAUUUGAGGAACGUCCGGACGGAAUUCCGGGUUUCCAGGAGAGGAGGGCGGAUCCCGGGGUUCAUUAAAGAGUUGGCACUUCCUGCUGGAAUUUCCGCUGCUUUUCCCCUGGAAAAGGGGGAAUGGGGACUGAUCCCGGGAAAAGCGGGAGUGGGGAAUUCCGGGGGGAAUUUGGGAUUGGCCGGAGUUCAGGGUUUGAGAUUGCCGGAAGGUCCGGAUGCCGUUCGGGAUUUGGGAUCCCUGGAUUUGGGGUUCUCAUCCAUGGAUUUCUUCGGGAUCCCCACAGUGAGUCGUGUCCCCAUCCCAAAUUCCCAACAUCCCUGGAUUUGGGAUCCCCUUUCCCCCUCUCCUCCAGCUCAUUCCCAGCUUUUCCUGGAAUUCCAGGAGCUCUUCCCACCUCACCCUUGA
ensembl:lncRNA